UACGUAGGGUGCAAGCGUUAAUCGGAAUUACUGGGCGUAAGGCGUGCGCAGGCGGCUUUGCAAGACAGAUGUGAAAUCCCCGGGCUUAACCUGGGAACUGCAUUUGUGACUGCAAGGCUGGAGUGCGGCAGAGGGGGAUGGAAUUCCGCGUGUAGCAGUGAAAUGCGUAGAUAUGCGGAGGAACACCGAUGGCGAAGGCAAUCCCCUGGGCCUGCACUGACGCUCAUGCACGAAAGCGUGGGGAGCAAACAGG
rnacentral:rRNA from 1 species